rnacentral:tRNA from 1 species
GCCCCUGUAGCUCAGAAGGAUAGAGCAGCGGUUUCCUAAACCGUUGGUCGGGCGUUCGAGUCGCCCCAGGGGUACCA